AUUGAACGCUGGCGGCAUGCCUUACACAUGCAAGUCGAACGGCAGCACGGGUGCUUGCACCUGGUGGCGAGUGGCGAACGGGUGAGUAAUAUAUCGGAACGUACCUUAUCGUGGGGGAUAACGCAGCGAAAGCUGCGCUAAUACCGCAUACGCCCUGAGGGGGAAAGCGGGGGACCGUAAGGCCUCGCGCGAUUAGAGCGGCCGAUAUCUGAUUAGCUUGUUGGUGGGUAAAAGCCCACCAAGGCGACGAUCAGUAGCUGGUCUGAGAGGACGAUCAGCCACACUGGGACUGAGACACGGCCCAGACUCCUACGGGAGGCAGCAGUGGGGAAUUUUGGACAAUGGGGGCAACCCUGAUCCAGCAAUGCCGCGUGAGUGAAGAAGGCCUUUGGGUUGUAAAGCUCUUUUGUCAGGGAAGAACAGCAGCUCUAACACAGUCUGCGAAUGACGGUACCUGAAGAAUAAGCACCGGCUAACUACGUGCCAG
rnacentral:rRNA from 1 species